rnacentral:misc_RNA from 1 species
UUAGUCACCGCUGCCAAUGCUCUUCCCUAAGUUUGAUUCUUCAUCCUUUACUUCGGCCACUUUGUCCUGCACAAUCUCAAUCACAAAACUAUCACGACAACUCCUCCUCCUCCUUUGCAAUCAAAUUUUCCAUUUCUAUCUUAUUCCCCACUUCCUCGCCUUUUGGCUCAACCUCCUUAUCCUCACUUCCCGAAAUUUUAUUCUUGACCGCAUCCUUCCCAAUUUCAUCAUUAUAAUAUACAGUCUCUUCCAUACAAACAUCAUGACUCCCCUUAACAUCAUUUCUGACGCUACUAUUUUCCACAUUUCCACCCACAUACUCCGCCUCCUCAUUAUUCUCAUUUCCAGUUGCACCAACAUCCGAUCCUCCAUCACUCCCAUUCUCAUUUUCAUCCUUCUCAGAAACAUUUUCCACAACCUCCUCAUUAACAUCUUCCACAGGCAUGCUUCCCUGACCUUGCUGCAUCUCUAAGAACUGCAACCUCCUUCUCAAAUCCCCCAACUCCCUCUCCAUUAGAAACAAUCUCUCUUUCAAUGUCAAGUUCUCUUCUUCCAAUUGUGCUAAAUGGGUAUCUUGAUCAUCCACCCUAUUCUCCAAGACAUUGUUGUAACUACAAUCCCCACCUCCAUAAGUCGGGUAAAUCAUCUCAAACCUACUCAAAUC